rnacentral:sRNA from 14 species
CGACAGGGUCAGCUUCAAAGCAAAUAGUGAAAGGUAAAUAGUCCCUUAGAAUCUAGAUUGUAUAAAAAAUAUUUGCUAACAAAAACUUUUUUCUCUUUUUAACGGGUUUA